rnacentral:rRNA from 1 species
GAUGAACGCUGGCGGCGUGCUUAACACAUGCAAGUCGAACGGAAAGGCUCCUGCUUGCAGGGGUACUCGAGUGGCGAACGGGUGAGUAACACGUGGGUGAUCUGUCCUGCACUUCGGGAUAAGCCUGGGAAACUGGGUCUAAUACCGGAUAGGACCACAUUUUGGAUGGUGUGGUGGAAAGUUUUUCGGUGUGGGAUGAGCUCGCGGCCUAUCAGCUUGUUGGUGGGGUAAUGGCCUACCAAGGCGUCGACGGGUAGCCGGCCUGAGAGGGUGUACGGCCACAUUGGGACUGAGAUACGGCCCAGACUCCUACGGGAGGCAGCAGUGGGGAAUAUUGCACAAUGGGCGCAAGCCUGAUGCAGCGACGCCGCGUGGGGGAUGACGGCCUUCGGGUUGUAAACUCCUUUCGCUAGGGACGAAGCGCAAGUGACGGUACCUGGAGAAGAAGCACCGGCUAACUACGUG